AGUAGCCGCGGUAAUACGUAGGGUGCAAGCGUUAAUCGGAAUUACUGGGCGUAAAGCGUGCGCAGGCGGUUGUGUAAGACAGGUGUGAAAUCCCCGGGCUUAACCUGGGAACUGCGCUUGUGACUGCACAGCUAGAGUAUGGCAGAGGGGGGUGGAAUUCCACGUGUAGCAGUGAAAUGCGUAGAGAUGUGGAGGAACACCGAUGGCGAAGGCAGCCCCCUGGGCCAAUACUGACGCUCAUGCACGAAAGCGUGGGGAGCAAACAGGAUUAGAUACCCCCGUAGUCCCUGUCUCUUAUACC
rnacentral:rRNA from 1 species